rnacentral:rRNA from 1 species
AACGAACGCUGGCGGCAUGCCUAACACAUGCAAGUCGAACGAGACGUUCGGGUCUAUGGGCGCACGGGUGCGUAACGCGUGGGAACCUGCCCUCAGGUUCGGAAUAACUCUCCGAAAGGGGUGCUAAUACCGGACAAUGUCUACUGACCAAAGAUUUAUCGCCCUUGGAUGGACCCGCGUUGGAUUAGCUAGUUGGUAGGGUAAAAGCCUCCUAAGGGGACGAUCCAUAGCUGGUCUGAGAGAAUGGUCACCCACACUGGGACUGAGACACGGCCCAGACUCCUACGGGAGGCAGCAGUGGGGAAUGUUGGACAGUGGGCGAAAGCCUGAUCCAGCAAUGCCGCGUGAGUGAUGAAGGCCUUAGAGUUGUAAAGCUCUUUUACCCGGGCUGAUAAUGACAGUACCGGGAGAAUAAGCCCCGGCUAACUCCGUG